GAUGAACGCUAGCUACAGGCUUAACACAUGCAAGGUCGAGGGGUAGCACGGAGGAAGCUUGCUUCCUUGGGUGACGACCGGCGCACGGGUGAGUAACGCGUAUCCGACCUACCCAUAACACGGGCACAGCCGCUCGAAAGAGUGAUUGAUUCCCGAUAUGUUAUAUAAGUAGAUUAUAUAAUGAAAGAUUUAUCGGUUAUGGAUGGGGAUGCGUAAGAUUAGGUAGUAGGCGGGGUAACGGCCCACCUAGCCGACGAUCUUUAGGGGUUCUGAGAGGAAGGUCCCCCACACUGGUACUGAGACACGGACCAGACUCCUACGGGAGGCAGCAGUGAGGAAUAUUGGUCAAUGGUCGAGAGACUGAACCAGCCAAGUCGCGUGAGGGAAGACUGCCCUAUGGGUUGUAAACUUCUUUUGUUCGGGAAUAAAGUGCAGUAUGUAUACUGUUUUGUAUGUACCGUUCGAAUAAGCAUCGGCUAAUUCCGUG
rnacentral:rRNA from 1 species